UUUAACAUCAACGACAGAAAAGAGAAUCCGGAUUUCGCCAAGUAUGCCUGAGAUGGACACAGAAGACUUUUUCUGGUUGAAUAUGGGUGAGCCAACUACAGGUAAAAAAGUGCUUAAGUAUUUGCUGCAUUGUGCAGAAAAUUUUCAUUUGACAGAAUGGUGGCUUUGCAACACCACACCUGAACUUGAACCUGGGACAUUAUCGUAUCUUCCGAAGAUCCUUCCAAUUGGGCCAUUGUUAAGAAGCAAUGAUAAUGAUAAUAAGAAAAGUGCAACUACAAAAUCAAUGGGACAAUUCUGGGAAGAAGAUCAAUCUUGCAUGAGUUGGUUAGAUGAACAAGCUCAUGGUUCUGUGUUGUAUGUUGCAUUUGGAAGUUUCACUCUUUUUGACCAAAACCAAUUCAAUGAACUUGCCCUAGGACUAGACCUCACCAACAGACCUUUUCUUUGGGUUAUAAGAGAAGACAAUAGAAUGGCAUACCCUCAUGAAUUCAAAGGGCAGAAAGGUAAGAUAGUGAGCUGGGCACCUCAACAAAAGGUUUUAAGCCACCCUGCCAUAGCAUGUUUUGUGACUCAUUGUGGCUGGAACUCUACCAUGGAAGGUUUGUCCAAUGGGGUACCUUUCUUGUGUUGGCCAUACUUUGGAGACCAACUUUCCAACAGAACACAUAUUUGUGAUGAGUUGAUGGUUGGUUUGGGGAUUGACAAAGAUCAAAAUGGAGUUGUGUCACGAGAGGAGUUGAAAACCAAAGUGGAACAAUUAUUUAAUGAUGACAACAUAAAACCUAGGUCUGUGGAGUUGAAGGAGAAAGUGUUGAACAACAUAGCAAAAGGAGGAACAUCUUAUGAGAAUCUUAACAUGUUUGUGAAGAUGAUAAAAGAAUAAGAGUUGACAUUUUGUGAAUAUGUUAACUCUAGAUUUGUAUUAGUUUGUUUUAUACCAUGUAUUUGAUAUGUAGUUAUCUUUAUUUGCUAAUGAAUUGUUUCGCUUGUGAAAAGAAAUAAUAUGUUGCUAAUUUGUUAGCAUAUAUGUAAAUCUUGUUUUGUUUGUUUCAAUGCCCAUGUUAUAGAUUUUUAUUCCAAUUUCUUAUUGCUAAGGUGUUGUUUUUUUUAUUUAGUAAAAGUUUGUACUAGGAUGAUGGUAUCCUUGCAUUAAAUAUUGCUAAUAAAUGUGUAAGUGUACAAUAAGGUGUUCAUUAUUUUUUAUACAAUAACAGUCUAUUGACAAACCAUUUUAAGAAUUAAUAUAAUCACUAAAAAAGAUAACAUUUUUUUAUUUGUUAAGAAAAAAAUUAAAAAGUAAAAUAAUGAAUUUAAAGUGGAUAUAAAAAACUAUUAGAUGUUAAAGUAACAUUAUCUUAAUUUCAAAUAAAAAUUAUUCUUUGUUUUUUUAUUAUAUACUCAAAUAGAUAAACUCUUGACAAUUUUAUUAAUUUGAUAUUAAAAAAUAUGUAUAUGCUUUAUAAAUUUAAAUUUUAAUAACACCAUAGUUGUUUUAAUUUGAUUUUUAUUUUUGUCAAAUUUUAUAUAGUAAAUAAUAUUUGAGUAACUACCAUAUAAAUGAAACCUAAUUUUUGAAAUGUAAAAUAAGAAUGAGAAUUGACUUUUAUUUGAAAAUUAGUUGAAUGAAAUUCCCUCGUGCUCACCAACUCUUCUUUUAUCUUCAUCGGCCACCGAAUAAAGUUGAUUGAACACUCAAAUAAAUACAUAAUAGGGUCCAUGCUACAACCUUCACGCUCCUUCAUCUUCAUUGCAUGAAACGUUUUACAAAUUUAAUGGUUUAAUUUGUAAUUGUUUUUAGUUUAAAUACAUUUUAAGUUUUUUUUAAUAUUUUUUAAAGAUAGUGUGACAAAAAAAUUUAAAACUUUAAAAUAAAUAAAUAUUUUUAGUACAAUAAUUAAUCUUAAUGAUAUUAUUUGAGAACAUUCAUUUUAUUUUCUACAAUUAUGUCAAAUUUAUACUAUUUUUUAAAUUUUUUAUUUUAAAAAGUAAUUCAAAAUUCAUCGUUGUUUAUAUAUAAUACCAUCUAAAAUGACCUUCAUUAUUACCAUCUAUGAUAUUUUGGAUCAAGCUCGUACAUCUAUAACUUUUAAAUUCAAUUGAAAGAUUUUAAAUGUUAAAAUAACAAAUUUCAGAUAAAAAGUGGAGUGUAAACCUUUUAGUUAAGUUAUGAGUUAUUUAUUUUAUCUCUACUUAUCAUUUAUUUCAAUGAACAUAUAAUAUAAGCUUUUAUUUAGAAGUAUAGUUAAUAUUAAUAGUCUUUCAUACAUUUUAACCUUUUUUUUUUAUACUUCCAUCACCCCAUUAAUUCUCCUCACAUCACAUUCAAUUGUAUAAUCCGUGAUAAUUAAUUCCUCUCAGAUAAAUUCAAAUUAUAUUUAAGUUUUCAAUAACCAAUAAAUAUUCAACAAGCAAUCAAACAUAUUAAUUAAUUAUUAAAAUAAUAUAUUUUAGAUAAUCAAACCUAUUAAUACCGAUUAAUAUAUCUGUUAAUUAAAUAAUUAUUAAUUCUUAAUCGAUAUAUUUCAUAUAAUAUACAUAAUAAAAUAAGAAAAGAAAGCAAGAUAAGAAAAUAAUUAAGAAAAUUUCAGAAAAAGGGUUGUUGAUAUUACAGACGUUCUUGAGAAAAUGGAGGAGAAAGAGAAAAGAAAGUUGAAGGGAGUUCAUUGAUGAGUCUUUUUCACUUGGUUUACUUUACUUUAAUAUGAAAAUAUUAUACAGAAAAGGGACCACAUUUUAGGCACCGCAAUCAUAAAUGUCGUGGUCUCAAACUCAUCCAAUAAUAUCCUAAGAUUUGAUUGAUCCAAUUCAUCUAUAAUAAUUGCUAAUUAUGCUUUCAAUGUAUAUAAGAACUGUAAGAAAACGUAUACAUUUAACUUACAAACUUUAGUAUUCGUCAAAUGGCAACGUUAUUAGCAUGAUUUUAAGUAACUCAAACAAUACAAAAGAUUCAUUUCAAAAAAAUAUAAAAUUUCUAAAAUUAUAUUUUAUUUUUUUAUUAAAUAAAUAUUUAUAUUAGAAAAUGUAUCGAAUGAAUAUUAAAAAUAAAUAAGAUUGACAUCGUUUUACUAAAUAUUAAUCUUAUUUAGUUGUAAUAUUUUAAUUUUUAAAUUAAUUUUAACUCCACAAACGUUAAAUAAAUAAAUAUAUAUAACUAAAAUAAAUAAGAUUAGUGUUUAAUCGAUAUUAACCUUAUUUAUUUUUUAUAUUUCGUUUAUUUAAUUUAGUAUUGGUUUAGUAGACAUUAAUUAUAUAAAAAAAAUCAAAAUAAAUAAUGUUAGUAUGGAUCAUAUUGAAUAUGUACCGUAAUAACUUUUAAUCUAAUAAUAGAGUUUUAAAGAUGACAAAGUCUCUUUACUCAUAAUUUUUUUAUUUCAUUUUUUAUAUAAAUCUCCUUACACUCUUUUUCUCUUGAUUCACAUUCAUAAGUAUUCUCACACUUAUUUUCUCCUAUUUUUUUUUUUUCAUCCACAUUAAUUCUUCUGUUUAUCUCCUUCCUUCAUAAUCAUUUUUUCCAUACACAUUCAUCUCCCUUAUACACCUUCAUCUCUUUUAUCCAUUAUAAUUAUUUUUCUAUUUUUUCAUUCAUAUUUGUUGAAUAUAGAGGUAUAUAUGAUAAUUUUUGUUUGAAUUUAUUAUCAUUAGCAUUGACCAGGUCGACGCUAUAUUAAAUAAAUUUUAAAACAAAAAUACCUUAAUAAUGUCUUAUGAAUUUCUAAAUUUUUAUUAGUUUUUCUAUUAAUAUUGAUGUCUUAUUUUAAUAUUCUCUUUCAUGAUUCCACAUAACCUCUUAUUAAAUCAAUAUUUUAAUAUCAUACUUAUUAAAUAAAAUAUAUAAUAUAUAAUUUAAUAUCAUUAUUGACUAUAAUAUACUUACUAAUUUUAUUAAUCUCAUAAAGAAUAAAACUUAUAACAUAAAGUAAUAUGUAGUACAUUGUCAUAAAGUCUCAAACAUGUCAUAAGAAACAUAAAGUCUAACCAAAAUAUGAGAAUAUAAAAUUAAUUUGAAUAAAAUUCACAUUAAAUUUUUUUAAUAAUUACUAAAUAUAUCUAUAUUAUAAAUAUAUAUAUAUAUACUAUUAAAGAGAAAUAAAUAAUUGGUAGAGUUUAAGUAUAAAUUUAAGUCAUACAUUAAAAAAAAAUAAACAACUUAUAAUAAAAAGUUCAUAAACAUAUUAUUUAAAAAUUCAUUAUUUUAAACUUUCAAAUUCAUAUAUCGUAUUUAGUUUUGAUUCAUAUCUAGAUGAAUAUUUUGCACAACAAAAUUAAAUAACUAUUUUAUAUACUUUAAAUAUAUGUUGAUUCAGAAAAAUUAAAUAUGUUUAAUCAGUCAAGGAUUUCAACAUUCUAUAUUGCUGUGUAAUUUUUCUGAAAACAAACAACCAAGUUUAUUAAAAUAUUUUACAAAAUUUAUGUUAGUUUAUUAAAAGUAUUUAGAUUUGUGAAAAAUUAAAAGUUAAUUUUAUUUUUUAUUAUAUUUAAAAUAAAUACUUUUUCUUAAAAGAAGAUCCAUGGAUCAAAGUCAAACCAUAUAAUAGGUAACAAAUUGACAUAUCUACUUGCGUUUAUGUCUUACUUGUGAUUAUGUCUUAAUAGAUCAUCUUUACUUCAUUUUAUGUAUUAGUUGUUACAAUAACUCAUAUAUAUGUAACCAAAAUUGAAAUCCAUUUUGUAACAUAUAACUAACCUAGUCUUACGUAAACUUAAUAAAUUAUAGCGAAAAUUCUAAAUUAUGCACUCUUAUUGUAAUUUUGUAUUUUGAUGUGAAACUUUUAGUGAACAACAAAUAUAUAUAUAUAUAUAUAUAUAUAUAUAUAUAUAUAUAUAAUUAAGUUUUUAAUUUCCAUUAAAUGGCCAUUGUUAUAUAUAUAUAUAUAUAUAUAUAUAUAUAUAUAUAUAUAUAUAUAUAUAUAUAUUUUUCUUAGAUUUAUGUGCUUUUUAAUUUUUUUCUUUAUAUAGUAUGAGAUAUUAAUAAUUUUGUUGGUACAUUUAUCACUUACCUAUUUUGGGGUUAUUGUUUGGUAAGUAGGGAGGAGAAAUAGAGAUAACUCUACCCAAAUUAAUCGUGUCUAGUAAAUAUGUAUCUUCCCUUCGGCAUCAAAUUGAACAAAUUUCACUAAAAUAUGAGAGAGUAUUCAUUGAAGUUACUUAUGGCAUAUUACCAAAUAUUUAGUUGACAAUAACAUUAACAUAAUAUAAGAAAUAAGAAAGUGACAUGUAAACGUGUUGCCAUUAAUAUAGUCCUUUCUUCCUCUCUUUUUUGGCUAAAAAUUUAAGAUUGCAGGAUAAUACUCUAUACUUCAAGAUAGGGAAAAGUUUCCAACUCAAAGACUCCUCAUAAAUAUUAUUAUUAUUAUUAUUAUUUUAGUUUUUUAAGAAAAUAAUUAGGAGUUUGAACUGUCACCUGUUCUUAAAUAUGUCUGAAUUUUGUAAUAAAAUAAGAGACAACUCCAUAUAUCUCACUUUAUAUUAUACUAAAUGACAUUAACUUUUCUCAAAAAAAAAUUUAAUAUAUACUUUUCAAAUGUUUUUAAUUUUAAAAUAGACUGACAAAUAAUUUAUUAUAUUCUAAUAAAAUUAUAUUUAUCUUUUUUUUAAAAAAAAUAUCGUAUUAUUUAAAAAUUAAGAGUGUAAAGAUAUUUCUAAUUUGUGUUAGAGAAAACACUUACCUUAAAAAAGAAUAUUUCAAUCUAAUAUAUAUAUAAUUCUUUUAUAUAUAUAUAUGUGUGUAUGUUUUUUAAAGAUCAGAGAGUCGAAAUCAAGGCUAUAGUUGAGAAUGAGCAUUCCAACAGUGCUAGUUCUGCCAUUCCCUGCACAAGGGCAUGUGAAUCCGAUGAUGAUCCUGUCAGAAAAGCUGGUGGAGAAUGGAUGUAAAGUGGUUUUCGUGAACACAGAGUUCAACCACAGGAUAAUGGUGAGUUGCAUGGUGGAGCAACGAGAUCAAAAUCCACUGAUAAAGUUGGUGUCAAUCCCAGAUGGCUUGGAAGCUGAUCAUGACAGAAAGGAUUUGUCAAAGCUGUUUGAUGUUAGUCUAAGCAGCAUGCCUCAUGCACUUGAGAACCUCAUCACAGAACAAAAUAUGAUUUCCAAAUCUGAGAACAGAAUCAGAUUCAUUGUUGCAGAUGUAAACAUGGCAUGGUCAUUGAACGUUGCCUGCAAACUGGGAAUCAAAGGAGCUCUAUUCUGCCCUGCAUCAGCAGCCAUUUUUGCCUUAAUUUACAACAUACCCAAACUUAUUCAUGAUGGCAUCAUAAAUUCUGAUGGUAACAUUUUACUUUAUCCUAUUAUGUUAUUUAUUUAAUUUCAUCACUUCUUUUCUUGUUAAAUCAUUUUUAAGUUAUCAAAAUGUUUCGCCUCACCCGUUAUUGAUUUCUCAAAAACGGAUAAAAAAAUCGAUGAGUUGGUAGAUCAGCUAGUCAACUUUUUUUACUUUUGUUUUUUUAAAAUUUGUUUUACAUAUAUAAAUAUUAAAAGCAUAUUUAAUUGUAUAAAUAUAUUUUGAUUUAUAUAAAUAUUUUCUAAAUUUUUAAUUAUUAAAUAUUUAAUCAAAUAAAUUGAUAUAAUAAUUGUUGUACAUUUGGAUAUCAUCUCUCAAUAUGUAUUAAAUACAAUGGACUACAACAACUUAAUAGAUUUAAAAUUAGUCUAGUCAACCUUAAUUUUUCACAUAAAUUAUAAAAAUUUAAGUGUAAGUUUAAGUUUUAUAUGGAAUAAAAAUGAGAAUGUACUACAUUACAUAAUAAUGGAAAUUGAUUAAGUUAUUACAACUAUUUUCUAUACGUUUCAUUUCUUUUUUAUGUAUAAAAAACUAAUUUUAUUUCGUCUAAGUAAAAUAUUGAUCAUUUAUCAACAAUUUUGUUUUCAUAAAUACAUUUUCUACUAAAUAUUACAUAGUUCCUGUUAAAAUUUGUGUUAAUUUACCUAAUAAAAUCAUGAAAAUAUCUAAUAAAAUGAUAUCUGUUCCCAUAAAACUACACUUACUAAUUAUAAUUUUUUUUUUAUUGUAGGGUCAUUGUUGACCACUAAAGAGACAAUUCAACUAUCACCAGGCAGGUUAGAGAUGGACACAAAAAGUAUUUUCUGGUUGAAUUUGAGUGACACAAUGAAUACUAAACAAAUGUUGAAUUACUUAGAUACUUGUGCAAAAUGUUCAAAUUUGACAGAACUAUGGUUUUGUGACACGACAUAUGAACUUGAACCUAGGGUUUUAAGCUUCUUUCCCAAGAUCCUCCCAAUUGGCCCAUUGUUGAGAAAUUAUAGCAACAUGAAUGCAUCAUCGACAAGAUCAAUGGGACAACUUUGGGAAGAAGAUCUCUCUUGCACGAGUUGGCUCGAUCAACAACCUCAGUGUUCUGUUAUAUAUGUUGCAUUUGGUAGUAUCACAUGUUUUGACCAAAACCAAUUCAAUGAACUUGCACUAGGACUAGACCUCACCAAUAGACCUUUUCUUUGGGUUGUGAGAGAAGACAACAAGAUGACAUACCCUAAUGAAUUCCAAGGGAAUAAAGGUAAGAUAGUUCAAUGGGCUCCUCAACAAAAGGUGCUAAACCACUCUGCCAUUGCUUCCUUUGUUAGCCAUUGUGGUUGGAACUCAACCAUGGAAGGUUUGUGUAAUGGGGUGCCCUUCUUGUGUUGGCCAUAUUUUGCUGACCAAAUCUAUAACAAAGCAUAUAUUUGUGAUGAAUUGAAGGUUGGGAUGGGAUUGGAGUUGGAUGAAAAUGGAGUUGUGUCAAGGUGGGAGAUAAAGAAGAAAUUGGAGCAAAUACUAAGUGAUGUGAACAUGAGAACAAGGUCUAUGAAGUUAAAGGAAAAGGUUUUAGACAAAGGUCGAUCUUCAGAGAACCUUAAAAAAUUGGUCAAGUGGAUCAAAGAGUAGGAUUUUUCCUUUUAUGUGUGUGUUUUGGAUCAUUAGAUCAACUUUUUGAGUGAUGAACAUGGAUGCAAUUUGGAAGUAAUAUGUCAAAUAGAAGUGAAGUGUAACUUGUUAGAGUUCAUUGAUAUGGGUUGGAGGUUGNNNNNNNNNNNNNNNNNNNNNNNNNNNNNNNNNNNNNNNNNNNNNNNNNNNNNNNNNNNNNNNNNNNNNNNNNNNNNNNNNNNNNNNNNNNNNNNNNNNNNNNNNNNNNNNNNNNNNNNNNNNNNNNNNNNNNNNNNNNNNNNNNNNNNNNNNNNNNNNNNNNNNNNNNNNNNNNNNNNNNNNNNNNNNNNNNNNNNNNNNNNNNNNNNNNNNNNNNNNNNNNNNNNNNNNNNNNNNNNNNNNNNNNNNNNNNNNNNNNNNNNNNNNNNNNNNNNNNNNNNNNNNNNNNNNNNNNNNNNNNNNNNNNNNNNNNNNNNNNNNNNNNNNNNNNNNNNNNNNNNNNNNCUAUAUAAAUAAUAUUUUAUGGAGUAGCUUUCUUUUGUUAUAUUAUUUAUUUAAUAUGGAUUUGGUUGGUUAUAAUAAUAUUAUAUAUAUUAUUUUUAUUAUAUAUAAUACAAUUUCACAUUGAUAAGUCGUGUUUAGGGAUUGCAACGGGUCAGGUCGGAUACAGAUAUUGUCUAUCCGCAUGGAUACCUGCUUAAAAAAUACCGGCGGGCAUUUUAAAAUCUGCGGAUACCCUUGGGUAUUCACGGAUUCCCACAAAUAUUUAAAAAAAAUAUAUUUUUCCAAAAUAUUAAAAUAAAACUUAAAUAAAAUUAAAAAAAAUAUAUAAAAUAUAAUAUAAAUUAAUUUAAAUAUUAAUUAAAAUUUAAUUUUAAUUAAAUUUAACCUUGUAAAAUAUAAAUUAAUGUUAAUUUUAAUUAAAUUUAACUUAAUAAAAUAUAAAUUAUUUUUUUUAUAAUUUUUUGCGGGUAGCGGAUAUCCGUGGGUACAGAUAGUAUAGUAUCCGCACCCGACCCGUUUAUAAGCGGGUAUUAAAAUACUCGCUACCCGCGGGUUAGGGACGAAUAAAUAUUCGCGAGUAUCAACUAUCCAUCGCGGAUUUUAUCCGCAGAUAUCCACAGGCACGGAUUUUUUUGUCAUCCCUAGUCGUGUUAUUUCUUGAUAUAUCACAUUUAUUCUUUAUAAGCACAUUAGUAGGUCGCCUUUAAUGUGUGUAUGUUCUUUUUUGGGAUAUAAGUUGCCUUAUGAUUAGAUGUGUCAACUUGACUCAUGGCUCAUAAGUUAGUCUUUAUAAAAGCUCACUUUUAGAAGGUCCCCUCACAUGGGGUUAAAAGAAAGCUCUAAUUCUUAAAGUUCCCUCUCAAGUAUAUUAGGAUUAAGGUUAAGGUGAACUUGGCCAUACUACAUUACUUAAAUUAACUCUUAGAAACAAUAUAAUUUAUGUAUACAUAUAAAAUUAUAUGUUUUAUUAGAUAGUCUAAUGUUAUAAUUUUAUUAUAUUUAAAUCAAUAUUUUUAUAUCAUACUUAUUAUUAUGUUAUUAAAUAAACUAUAUAAUUUAAUAUCGUUAUUGACUAUAAUAUAUUUAUUAAUUUCUUAAAGAGUAAAACUUAUAGCAUUUAAUAAAAAAGUAUGUAGUACAUUAUCAUAAAGUCUCAAACAUGACAUAAAAAAUAUGAAGUCUAGCAUAAUAUUAUAUUAACUUUAAUAAAUUUCAUACUAAAGUAUUUUUAUAAUUACUAAAUAUAUAUUUAUUAUUAUUAUUAUUAAUAUUAUUAUUAUUAUUAUUAUUAUAUAUAUAUAUAUAUUAUUAAAAUAUUUUAGUUUGAUUAAAAUAUUUAUAUAUAGCUCUUUGAUAAUUAAAAUACUUAUAUUUAUGAAAAAUCAAGAGUUAAUUAUAUUUUUUAUUAUAUUCAAAAUUAAUAUUAAAAAAAAAAAAACUUAUGAGUUGACCUAACCCACGACAUUUUUUUGAAUAUUUUGAUAUAAUGAACUAUCUUCAAUCCAUGUGAAUCAAGACCAAACAAUGUAAUAUGAACCACAUUGACAUGCCUCAUUAUGUCUUACUUGUGAUUAUGUCUCAAUAGGUCACAUUUACUUCUUUUUCUUUUUAUAUAUUGGUUGUUAUCUGUAACCAAAAUUAAAAUGCUUUUUGUAACAUAUAACAAACCACGUCUUACGUAUACUCAAUAAAAUUGUAGUUAAUUAGAAUUCUCAAUUAUGCGCUCUUAAUGUAAUUUUUGUAUUUUUUUUUUCUUUUACAUUACUUAAUGUGAAAUUUUUAGUGAACAACACAUCUAACUAUAUUUAUUUAAGUUUUUUAUUUCCAUUAAACGGUCAUUGUUUUAUAUAUUUUUUCUUAGAUUUAUGUCCUUUAUAUUUUUAUCUUUAUAUACUAUGAGAUAUUAAUAAAUUUGUUGGUACAGUUUUAUGAAUUACCUAUUUUGGAGUUAUUUGUUUGGUAAGAAGGGAGGAGAAGUAGAGAUAAAUUUGUUGGUACAGUUUUAUGAAUUACUUCAAGAUAGGAAAAGUUUAAAACUCCAAGACUCCUCAUAAAUAUUAUUAUUAUUAUUAUUAUUUCAAUUUUUUAAGAAAAUAAUUAGGAGUUUGAACUGUCACCUGUCCUUAAAUAUGUCUUAAUUUUGUGAUAAAAUAAGAGAAAAUUCCAUAUAUCUCACUUUAUAUUAUACUAAAUGACAUUAACUAUUUUCAAAUUUUUUUUGAUAUUUCAAUCUAAUAUAUAUAAUUCUUUUAAUAAUUUAUCAAGAAAAAUUAAUUUAAUAAUGAAAUAUUAAUAAUUAAUUUUUUAAGACUUUCUUAUUAAUAUUUCAAUCUCACUUUAUAAUUAAUUUUUUAAUAUUUCAAUCUCACUUUAUAAUUAAUUUUUUAAUGAAAAUAACUUAUCAAGAAAACUUUAUUUAAUAAUAAAAUAUUAAUAAAAGAAACCGUUCACAUAAAAAAUUAAUAAUUAAUUUUUUAAGACAAAAUAUUAUUAUCACAAAUUGUUAUAUUUUUUAUCAAGAAACAUAUAUUACUUUUUAAAUAAUAUUAUUUUAAGUAAUAAAAGUAAAAUAUAUUUUUUUAAAAUUUAAUUUUAUUAAAUAAUUAAGUCAUAUAAAUCAUAAAAGAAAAAAAACUAUUUAAAAAAUACUUUAAAUAUAUUAUAUGUGUGUGUCAAUAAAAUUUAAGAAAGUCACUCCGUAUUAUAUAUCUAAAAAAACAUACGUAAAAGAGAUACAGAAUAGUAAAAAAACUAAAAAUUAUAUUCUAGAGAAGAAUAUAUAUAUAUAUGGUUUACUCUAUCUCAUCGCGAUAUAAUCUAUCAUAUAUUCUAUCCUUACAAUAAUCUAAGUUACACAUAAUAAAUUUGGAUAACUUCUACACGUAACCAACCUAUUAAAUAUUUUCAUUUUAUGAAAUGUUUAACAUUUUUGUAUUUAAUUUUAUUAUCAAUAAAAUAGUGUAAUCAUUACUAUUAUCUCUUCACUUUUUUUUUACUUUAUUAAUCGAUUUUUUAAUUCUCUUUUCAAUUCAUUAAUAAUUUUUAUUUUCUCUUUUUUGAAAAACAACAUUAUCAAUGAAAAUAAUGAGAAAUUAAAAAAAAGGUUUAUUUUUGACAAGAAAAAGUAAAUAAAAAAUAAUACAAUUAUACAAAAAUAAACAAGAUCUUAAAUCCUCGUAUUAAAAAUUUGUUUCUUCUAUUUGUAUUUCACCUUUUGCAAUUCUAAUUAAUUGAGGAACACUGACUUCCAUUCCAUACAACUUGUAUUCCAAAUUAAAAAAGAAAAUUUUUAUUCCAAAUAAAAAAAUAAAUUGUUUUACAAAACUUGCAAUCAAAAUGAUUUAAUUUCAUAUUAUAAUCUAAAGUUACUUUGUUAUUAGAUAGUGUUAAAAUCAGAUUUUAGAAUUAGUACCGUGUUAAAAUUAGUACAAUUCAGUUUAAAAUUAGUAGUUCAGUUAAAAUUAGUACAGUUUACAAUUCAGUUAAUAAUUCAGUUAGUGUAAUUUACAAUUCAGUUAAUAGUUCAGUACAGUUUACAGUUUAGUUAAUAAUUCAGUUAGUGCAGUUUACAAUUCAGUUAAUAUUUCAGUUCAGUUUAUACUGUAGUUUAGUACAAUUUAGUAUAGUUCAGUUCAGUUCAGUUUGAUGAAACAAAAAACAGUUCAGUUCAGUUUAUCUGAACUGUUUUACAGUUCAGUUCAAACAAAUUAGUUUUUAGUUUAGUACCGUUUUUAGCCGUGCAGUUCAAUUCGGUUCGAUUUGUCCACCCCUAGAACAUACCCAAACUUAUUCAUGAUGAUAUCAUAAAUUGUGAUGGUAAGAUUUCAUUUUAUACUAUUAUGUUAUUUACUUAAUUUCAUCACUUCUUUUCUUGUUAAAUAGUUUUUAAGUUAUCAAAACAGUCAGACCAGCAUGUUUCACCUCACCCGUUGAGUUGGUAGAUUAGCUAGUAAACUUUUUUUACUUUUGUAUUUUUAAAAUUAAUCAUUUUCCAUGAAAACAUUUUCUACUAAAUAUUACAUAGUUCCUCCCAAAAUUUGUGUUAACUUACCUAAUAAAAUCGUGUAAAUAUUUAAUAUAAUGAUAUCUGUUCCCAUAAAACUACACUUACUAAUUGUAUAUAUUUUUAUUGCAGGGUCAUUGUUGACCACCAAAAAGACAAUUCAACUAUCACCAUGCAUGGUAGAGAUGGACACAGGAAGUUUUUUCUGGUUGAAUUUGCAUGACACAAUGAAUAUUAAACACAUAUUUAAUUACUUAAAUACUUGUGCAAAAUGUUCAAAUUUGACUAAACUAUGGUUUUGUAACACCUCAUAUGAACUUGAACCUAGGGUUUUAAGCUUCUUUCUCAAUGUCCUCCUAAUUGGCCCAUUGUUGAGAAAUUAUAGCAACAUGAAUGCAUCAUUGACAAGAUCAAUGGGACAACUUUGGGAAGAAGAUCUCUCUUGCAUGAGUUGGCUCGAUCAACAACCUCAGUGUUCUGUCAUGUUGCAUUUGGUAGUAUCACAUGUUUUGACCAAAACCAAUUCAAUGAACUUGUCAUAGGACUAGGCCUCGCCAAUAAACCUUUUCUUUGGGUUGUGAGAGAAGACAACAAGAUGGCAUACCCUAAUGAAUUCCAAGGGAAUAAAGGUAAGAUAGUUCAAUGGGCUCCUUAACAAAAGGUG
rnacentral:lncRNA from 1 species